GCCGCAAUAGCUCAGUCGGUAGAGCGACGCAUUCGUAAUGCGUAGGUCGGGGGUUCGAAUCCCUCUUGCGGCA
rnacentral:tRNA from 1 species